CUACGGGUGGCAGCAGUUAGGGAUCUUUUGCAAUGCGCGCAAGCGUGACAAAGCGAGCCAGAGUGUUUCUCGUUUAGAGAAACUUUUGCCAGCUGUAAAAAGGCUGGCGAAUAAGGACUGGGCAAGACCGGUGCCAGCCGCCGCGGUAAUCCCGGCAGUCCAAGUCGCAGCCAAUUUUAUUGGGUCUAAAACAUCCGUAGCUUGUCUUGAAAGUCUGUUGUGAAAUUCUGUCUCUUAAGGACAGAGAUUGCAAUAGAUACUACAAGACUGGAGACCGGUGGACGCGAGGAGUACACCAGAGGUAGUCGUAAAAAACGUUAAUCUUUGGUGGACUAACAAUAGCGAAGGCAUCUCGCGAUGACGGUUCUGACAGUGAGGGAUGAAGGCUAGGGGCGCAAAACGGAUUAGAUACCCUGGUAGUC
rnacentral:rRNA from 1 species